UGCGCGAGGGCCCCCCUCUAUCAGCCAACCAGACCAGCCAGCGCCCGCCGACCAACCGGGGGCGUCCCCGCCGUCGCUCCAGCUAUCCGCCUUGGAGAAGUACGAACUGCUGUUUCGUCCGCGAGUGUUUGGAUUACGGCUCUUUACGACUGCGGGACGAUUUUGGCGAACUGCUCCAGUGCUUGGAUCACUUACGUUUAAACGAGACACAGAGAGGCGCGGAGCCGAGAGUGCAAUACACUGCAGCCGGCUGAUAGAGUGCUAUAUAGCGAGUAGCUAAAGCCGAGCUAAU